UAGGGAAUAUUGGGCAAUGGAUGGAAGUCUGACCCAGCCAUCCCGCGUGCCGGAAGACGGCCCUCAGGGUUGUAAACGGCUUUUGACGGUGAAGAAUAGGCGGGAUGCGUCCUGUUUUGACGGUAGCCGUUGAAUAAGCACCGGCUAACUCCGUGCCAGCAGCCGCGGUAAUACGAAGGGGGCUAGCGUUGUUCGGAAUUACUGGGCGUAAAGGGCGCGUAGGCGGAUUUGCAAGUUAGGGGUGAAAUCCCGGGGCUCAACCCCGGAACUGCUCUAAACUGCUAAUCUAGAGUUCGGGAGAGGUGAGUGGAAUUCCGAGUGUAGAGGUGAAAUUCGUAGAUAUUCGGAGGAACACCAGUGGCGAAGGCGGCUCACUGGCCCGAAGCUGACGCUGAGGCGCGAAAGCGUGGGGAGCAAACAGGAUUAGAUACCC
rnacentral:rRNA from 1 species